GAUCUGUUGACCACAGACAUCACAUUGGAGGUGAUUCCCCAGGGAGUCCAAGAGAUGUCUGUUCCCAGAAUCAUAACCACGGAAGAAUGUGUUCAAAAGGCCUUUGGAUAAGCCGGGGAUGAUGCUCCUUCGAAGCGACCGUGCUACGGUGCAAUUUAUGGGUCUGUUGCCUCCUCCACGUGGCUCAUCAUAAAGGCCAUCUUGAAACACAGAAACCAAACUGCAAAGAGGAGGAGGUUGCAAGCAAGCCUGAAGGUGACGUUUUGGAAGAAAGAACAUCUCACCAGUUAAUAUAACUUAAUCUCAGGCUGAACAUCUGAUGACUGCUGUUCAAAAUGCAUUGUAAGAUGACUUCAUCUCCCACCAGUUCAAGGCUAUCCUUUAGAACGUGCUUUCCCUGAUGAGAUUUAAGGGACUUAUUUAACAACGUUCUGCCUUGUAAAUCUGUUUCUUGCUUUACCAGAUUUUUGCCUCUCAACCAUAUUUCAGCCCAAACUUCUCCACCAAUUAUUUCUUUUAAGAGAAGCAUCUUGGCGAGACCAGGAGGCUCUUGGGCAAAGCACUGUGUUCAGACAGUGAAAGCUCUCUGCCUUCCACCAGUUUAUACUCAAGAAAAAGAGAUUCAACAAGAGAGAAAGGAAUUUUCACAAUUUUAAAUUGGGGAAACUGAGGCAGGGAGGUAUGAAGGAACCCGAUUCUCAAAUCAUAUUUAGAAGUCUAAGCUCUCUUAUUUUUUUGAUGGUGUCUAAAUUAUCUAAGACCCCAAUGGACAAGGUUCCCCAGGCGGCUUGUAGGAGAGUAACACAGCCAGUCCUCUAUUUUAAUCACAGGCUCAUUAGACCUGCUGCAGACUGCCAUAAUUUUGUAUUGUUCCCCCCCGCGGGAUUUUGUGUUCCAGAAGAUUUUGCCUGUGAUGAGUUACUAUCGAUUUUUCCAGGCUGCCAUUAAUCUUUCAAACACUUUUAAAUUAAUAAUAGAAAAUUCCUGUGGAUUAUAAGCAUGUCUCUGUGUCAUUGUACCACUGAAAGCUGAGCUCAAAAUGUUCUGUCUCAUACCUGGCCC